GUCUUUUAGAAAUAAUUAAAAGUCUAAUCUGCCCAAUGAUUUAAUUAAAUGGCCGCGGUAAAUUGACCGUGCAAAGGUAGCAUAAUAAAUUGUCUUUUAAUUGAAGGCUUGUAUGAAUGAUUGGAUGAAAGACUAACUUAAUUAAUAUUAAUAAUUGAAAUUAAUUAUUGAGUAAAAAAGCUCAAAUGUAUAAGUGGGACGAGAAGACCCUAUAGAAUUUAAAAAAAUCAUUAAAUUAAUUAUUUUAGUUAGUAAAUUUUUUUAUUUUAUGAUUAUUUUUUGUUGGGGUGACAUUAAAAUUUAACUAACUUUUAAUUAAAAUUCCAUUAAUAUAUGUUUUAAUUGAUCCAAUUUUUUGAUUAUAAGAAUAAAUUACCUUAGGGAUAACAGCGUUAUUAUUUUGGAGAGUUCUUAUCGAUAAAUUAGAUUGCGACCUCGAUGUUGGAUUAAAAAUAGAGAUUGGAGCAAAAUUUUUUAUUUCUAGGUCUGUUCGACCUUUAAUAUUUU
rnacentral:rRNA from 1 species